AUUGAACGCUGGCGGCAGGCCUAACACAUGCAAGUCGAGCGGAUGAAGGGAGCUUGCUCCUGGAUUCAGCGGCGGACGGGUGAGUAAUGCCUAGGAAUCUGCCUGGUAGUGGGGGAUAACGUCCGGAAACGGGCGCUAAUACCGCAUACGUCCUGAGGGAGAAAGUGGGGGAUCUUCGGACCUCACGCUAUCAGAUGAGCCUAGGUCGGAUUAGCUAGUUGGUGGGGUAAAGGCCUACCAAGGCGACGAUCCGUAACUGGUCUGAGAGGAUGAUCAGUCACACUGGAACUGAGACACGGUCCAGACUCCGACGGGAGGCAGCAGUGGGGAAUAUUGGACAAUGGGCGAAAGCCUGAUCCAGCCAUGCCGCGUGUGUGAAGAAGGUCUUCGGAUUGUAAAGCACUUUAAGUUGGGAGGAAGGGCAGUAAGUUAAUACCUGGCUGUUUUGACGUUACCAACAGAAUAGCACCGGCUAACUUCGUG
rnacentral:rRNA from 1 species